AGGCUCCGAGGCGGCGGCGGCGACUCCCUCUUUCCCUCCCUCCUCCUCCGUCCGCCCGUCCGUCCGCGCGUCUGUCCGUUCGGCCCGGUCCGGCCCGAAGCAUGGCCGGCGUCAGCUUCAGCGGCCACCGCCUGGAGCUGCUGGCGGCUUACGAGGAGGUGAUCCGAGAGGAGAGCGCGGCCGACUGGGCUCUGUACACAUAUGAAGAUGGCUCCGAUGACCUCAAGCUUGCAGCAUCAGGAGGUAGGAAUUCCAGCCAUUCCCUCGCCGCCUUCUCCACCCCCUCCUCCUGGUUGUUUUCUUCCCCACCCACCUGGCUGUAGGCCACCUCCCUGCCUGCACCCUGCAGCCCCACACUUGUCUGGAUCUGGCGGGUGUCCUUCCUCCAGUCAUCCCUGUGUCCCCAGGGUGGGGAGGAAUCUCAGAGCCUUGUUGAAUGUUGGACUUCUGAGGCUGAGCCUCCAACAGGGAAAGUGACUUAUCUGAAGCCACACAGCUGGGACACUUUGGGGGAAGGGCCCUAUUCACCGCCUU
rnacentral:lncRNA from 10 species